CCUACGGGGGACAGCAGUGAGGAAUAUUGGUCAAUGGGCGCGAGCCUGAACCAGCCAAGUAGCGUGAAGGAUGACUGCCCUACGGGUUGUAAACUUCUUUUAUAAAGGAAUAAAGUGAGGCACGUGUGCCUUUUUGUAUGUACUUUAUGAAUAAGGAUCGGCUAACUCCGUGCCAGCAGCCGCGGUAAUACGGAGGAUCCGAGCGUUAUCCGGAUUUCUUGGGUUUCAAGGGAGCGUAGAUGGGGUGUUAAGUCAGUUGUGACAGUUUGCGGCUCAACCGGAAAAUUGCAAUUGAUACUGGCAGUCUUGAGUACAGUUGAGGUAGGCGGAAUUCGUGGUGUAGCGGUGAAAUGCUUAGAUAUCACGAAGAACUCCGAUUGCGAGGGCAGCUUACUAAACUGCCACUGACAUUGAUGCUCGAAAGUGUGGGUAUCAAACAGGAUUAGAGACCCCUGUAGUC
rnacentral:rRNA from 1 species